AUGGAGACGGUGGAAGACCCCACCCUGGAGCCUGCGAUUGGGUGGCUUGCCGACACCAUCCUUGCAAAUCUUCCAGCCGGCGGCAAGCUGGACUGGUGGAUCCACCAAGCUGGCCUUGGCAACGAAACCAUGACGCUCAAGGCCGAGGUCGAGGCAGUGGAGAUGGUGGUUUCUGCUGUGCAGGGGAGGGCGGCCGGAAACAAGCCGCUGACCCGAUCUCUCGCUCGUCUCAAGGAGCUGCUCUACGACGCCGACGAUGUGGUCGACGAGCUCGACGGCUACAGGCUCAAGCAGGAGCUCGAGCCAGAGACACUGCUCCAAACGGAUGGACAUGCUGGAGCGCAGCAAGUUGAGAGAUCUAGAGAAAAUGAUGACGAUGUACAGAGCAGCGGUAAUAGCAGGUUACAAUCCAAGGAAUGGAAUCACUUCGAAAUCACAGAGUUUGAACAAAACGGAGGGCGUGCCAGAGUAGGACGAUCAAUUGUGUCUGUCAUUCAAUCAUCACGCAUUGUACAGCAUAUAUAG
rnacentral:rRNA from 1 species